rnacentral:rRNA from 1 species
CAGUAGCCACGGGAAAACAGAGGAUGCAAGCGUUGUCCGGAAUUAUUGGGCGUAAAGGGCUCGCAGGCGGUUUCUUAAGUCUGAUGUGAAAGCCCCCGGCUCAACCGGGGAGGGUCAUUGGAAACUGGGAAACUUGAGUGCAGAAGAGGAGAGUGGAAUUCCACGUGUAGCGGUGAAAUGCGUAGAGAUGUGGAGGAACACCAGUGGCGAAGGCGACUCUCUGGUCUGUAACUGACGCUGAGGAGCGAAAGCGUGGGGAGCGAACAGGAUUAGAUACCCCUGUAGUCCCUGUCUCUUAUAC